AUUGAACGCUGGCGGCAGGCCUAACACAUGCAAGUCGAACGAGUGGCGGACGGGUGAGUAAUGUCUGGGAAACUGCCCGAUGGAGGGGGAUAACUACUGGAAACGGUAGCUAAUACCGCAUACCAUCGGAUGUGCCCAGAUGGGAUUAGCUAGUAGGUGGGGUAACGGCUCACCUAGGCGACGAUCCCUAGCUGGUCUGAGAGGAUGACCAGCCACACUGGAACUGAGCCACGGGCCAGACCCCUACGGAAGGCAGCAGUGGGGAAUAAUGCACCAUGGGCGGAAGCCUGGUGCAGCCAGGCCGCGGGUGUUAAGAAGUCCUUCGGGUUGUAAAGUACUUUCAUCGAGGAGGCGUUACUCGCAGAAGAAGCCCCGGCUAACUCCGUGCCAGCAGCCGCGGUAAUAC
rnacentral:rRNA from 1 species